GCCUUACAGUUACUUAAACUUGUAACCCUCCCAGUAGCUGUGGAGUCUAGUAAACGUGGCUUCUGCCGGGUUCGCCGGUCAGCCCAGGCUGUUGAGGGGCAGGCAUGGGGCCCGUGGGCCAGAGGAGACCUCCAGGCUUCUCUCCCACUCUUCUCUGGCCUGCACCCCCUCUUGGGUAGAGGCUGCACCUCCUGCUUGGGUUCGGCCACCUCCAAAUACUGCAUCGACGGCCCGUGUCUCUGCCUGCGGGGCUGGGCCAGCGCCAGAGACGCAGGCAAAGCGCCAGCCGCCCAGGGGCAGCAGCUGGCGAGUUGAGCCUCGUCUGCAUGAGAAAGCAUCACCUUUGCUUUCGGUUUGAUGCGGCAGUUCUCAGCCAGGCUGGAGGCAGCCUGGAAUCCCAGAUCUCCUACUGACACCUCAGGUCUCCCCCGCGGCUCCGGGGACGUCCCUAACCCCUGAUGCUGCACCACAGGCAGACCUGCCAGAACCUCACCACCACCAAGAUUGCUACCUGGAGAUUCCUGCUUGCCCCAAACCCCAGGGCACCACUUCUGCGUCCCUCAUUCCCACUGCUCCGGAUCCCUGUCUACAGAGCCACUCCUCCCGCCGGUGUGAUCCUGGAGCCCACGGUGGCCCCUGCUUUGAAGAGCCUGUUGGUCCAGUCCUUCCCGCCUUCUGCAGAGCUGUUCUCCUCCUUCUAAAGAAGUCACCUGGGCCCUGGGCCCCGUCUUCCUGGCUCCACAGAGUCCCUGUGGCUGCAGGCACUGCUUCUCUCUCCUGCACCCAAUCCCUCUCCCACUCCACUGCCUCUGGGUGUGCAAAAACACUGAUGUUUCCCAUAUUUUCAAAAUCUCUCCCCUGUAGUUCCCACCUGACUUCUAAUAGGUGGCCAAAGUACAGACAUUAAUGUAUGUUAAGGCACAUAAUUAAUGCAUAUUAAAAGUUAACAAUAAUGAA